CCUACGGGGGGCAGCAGUGAGGAAUAUUGGUCAAUGGACGAGAGUCUGAACCAGCCAAGUCGCGUGAAGGAUGACGGCCUACGGGUUGUAAACUUCUUUUGUAUGGGAGUAAGUACCAUACGAAUAAGCAUCGGCUAACUCCGUGCCAGCAGCCGCGGUAAUACGGAGGAUGCAAGCGUUAUCCGGAUUUAUUGGGUUUAAAGGGUGCGUAGGCGGGACAAUAAGUCAGCGGUGAAAGUUUGAGGCUCAACCUUAAAAUUGCCGUUGAAACUGUUUUUCUUGAGUAUAUUUGAAGUAGGCGGAAUUCGUAGUGUAGCGGUGAAAUGCAUAGAUAUUACGAAGAACUCCAAUUGCGAAGGCAGCUUACUAACUUAACUGACGCUGAAGCACGAAAGCGUGGGUAUCAAACAGGAUUAGAUACCCUUGUAGUC
rnacentral:rRNA from 1 species